rnacentral:rRNA from 1 species
AUUAGAUACCCCGGUAGUCCAGGGUGUAAACGCUGCAGACUUGGUGUUGGGAACCCGUUCGGGGGUGCUCAGUGCCGGAGAGAAGUUGUUAAGUCUGCUACUUGGGGAGUACGUCCGCAAGGAUAGAAACUUAAAGGAAUUGGCGGGGGAGCACCGCAACGGGAGGAGCGUGCGGUUUAAUUGGAUUCAACACCGUAAACUCACCAGGGAAGACUGUUACAUGAAGGCCGAGAUGAAGACUCUGCUAGAUUUUCAG